UACGUAGGGGGCAAGCGUUGUCCGGAUUUAUUGGGCGUAAAGAGCGUGUAGGCGGCCAUACAGGUCCGUUGUGAAAACUCGAGGCUCAACCUCGAGACGUCGAUGGAAACCGUAUGGCUAGAGUCCGGAAGAGGAGAGUGGAAUUCCUGGUGUAGCGGUGAAAUGCGCAGAUAUCGGGAGGAACACCAGUGGCGAAGGCGACUUCCUGGCCUGUUCUUGACGCUGAGGCGCGAAAGCUAGGGGAGCAAACGGG
rnacentral:rRNA from 1 species